rnacentral:rRNA from 1 species
GAUGAACGCUGGCGGCGUGCCUAAUACAUGCAAGUCGAGCGAACGGACGAGAAGCUUGCUUCUCUGAUGUUAGCGGCGGACGGGUGAGUAACACGUGGAUAACCUACCUAUAAGACUGGGAUAACUUCGGGAAACCGGAGCUAAUACCGGAUAAUAUUUUGAACCGCAUGGUUCAAAAGUGAAAGACGGUCUUGCUGUCACUUAUAGAUGGAUCCGCGUUGCAUUAGCUAGUUGGUAAGGUAACGGCUUACCAAGGCAACGAUGCAUAGCCGACCUGGGAGGUUGAUCGGCCACACGGGAACUGAGACACGGUCCAGACUCCUACGGGAGGCAGCAGUAGGGAAUCUUCCGCAAUGGGCGAAAGCCUGACGGAGCAACGCCGCGUGAGUGAUGAAGGUCUUCGGAUCGUAAACCUCUGUUAUUAGGGAAGAACAUAUGUGUAAGUAACUGUGCACAUCUUGACGGUACCUAAUCAGAAAGCCACGGCUAACUACGUG